GAUGAACGCUAGCUACAGGCUUAACACAUGCAAGUCGAGGGGCAGCAUGGUCUUAGCUUGCUAAGGCCGAUGGCGACCGGCGCACGGGUGAGUAACACGUAUCCAACCUGCCGUCUACUCUUGGACAGCCUUCUGAAAGGAAGAUUAAUACAAGAUGGCAUCAUGAGUCCGCAUGUUCACAUGAUUAAAGGUAUUCCGGUAGACGAUGGGGAUGCGUUCCAUUAGAUAGUAGGCGGGGUAACGGCCCACCUAGUCUUCGAUGGAUAGGGGUUCUGAGAGGAAGGUCCCCCACAUUGGAACUGAGACACGGUCCAAACUCCUACGGGAGGCAGCAGUGAGGAAUAUUGGUCAAUGGGCGAGAGCCUGAACCAGCCAAGUAGCGUGAAGGAUGACUGCCCUAUGGGUUGUAAACUUCUUUUAUAAAGGAAUAAAGUCGGGUAUGGAUACCCGUUUGCAUGUACUUUAUGAAUAAGGAUCGGCUAACUCCGUGCCAGCAGCCGCGGUAAUACGGAGGAUCCGAGCGUUAUCCGGAUUUAUUGGGUUUAAAGGGAGCGUAGAUGGAUGUUUAAGUCAGUUGUGAAAGUUUGCGGCUCAACCGUAAAAUUGCAGUUGAUACUGGAUAUCUUGAGUGCAGUUGAGGCAGGCGGAAUUCGUGGUGUAGCGGUGAAAUGCUUAGAUAUCACGAAGAACUCCGAUUGCGAAGGCAGCCUGCUAAGCUGCAACUGACAUUGAGGCUCGAAAGUGUGGGUAUCAAACAGGAUUAGAUACCCUGGUAGUCCACACGGUAAACGAUGAAUACUCGCUGUUUGCGAUAUACUGCAAGCGGCCAAGCGAAAGCGUUAAGUAUUCCACCUGGGGAGUACGCCGGCAACGGUGAAACUCAAAGGAAUUGACGGGGGCCCGCACAAGCGGAGGAACAUGUGGUUUAAUUCGAUGAUACGCGAGGAACCUUACCCGGGCUUAAAUUGCAGAUGAAUUACGGUGAAAGCCGUAAGCCGCAAGGCAUCUGUGAAGGUGCUGCAUGGUUGUCGUCAGCUCGUGCCGUGAGGUGUCGGCUUAAGUGCCAUAACGAGCGCAACCCUUGUUGUCAGUUACUAACAGGUUCCGCUGAGGACUCUGACAAGACUGCCAUCGUAAGAUGUGAGGAAGGUGGGGAUGACGUCAAAUCAGCACGGCCCUUACGUCCGGGGCCACACACGUGUUACAAUGGGGGGUACAGAGGGCCGCUACCACGCGAGUGGAUGCCAAUCCCCAAAACCUCUCUCAGUUCGGACUGGAGUCUGCAACCCGACUCCACGAAGCUGGAUUCGCUAGUAAUCGCGCAUCAGCCACGGCGCGGUGAAUACGUUCCCGGGCCUUGUACACACCGCCCGUCAAGCCAUGGGAGCCGGGGGUACCUGAAGUGCGUAACCGCGAGGAGCGCCCUAGGGUAAAAC
rnacentral:rRNA from 1 species